CAAAUAGGGACCGAUGAUUCAUGCAGCAUGAAGACAAUUAUCAGCGACGAAUGACUCCUUCCUAUUCCUCUUACUCUUGUCAUUGUUUAGUAAUGUAAAGAAUCUGUCUCAGAGAAGUGACCGUAGAGCCAUGAUGUGCUCUGAGAGAAUGAAGUCAGGCUAGGGAAAUACUCCUAAACCGGGGAAAUCAGUCAAAUUAGAAAUGGGGUUUUGUAACAAAUUUAUAGCUGAGUGAGUGGAAUACACAAUGACCUUACCUGGUGGGGAUCUUCUCAAACAUUCCCACCAUAAACUCAUGCAGGUCAACAGAGCAGGAAAUUGGGGGGUUUGGGGGGAGGUGGCGCACACGUGAAGGCAAAGACAGGAAGAAGGGAACAGGAAGGACAGGUGAAGAAAGAUGAGAUUUCCAUAAACAGGAAAUAACCGUACGGUCACUUUACCUCUUAAAUCUUAUGUGGAGACAAGCAGAAAACCCCACUCCCAACCAAGAGAGAGGACCUACCUUCCCUCAUCCGGUUUAAUCCUGAUAAAUACCCAACUCAGAUGAAGAAUGAAGCCCAGAGGACCUAAGGGGUUUAUUAAGUUCAUUAUUCAGGGGCUGCAGAAUGCAUCUAAAUAAAGGGAAACUAAUUAAUGAAUCAGGCUGCCAUGUGGGAUCAAGGAAGGUACUUGGUGUUCAGGAAGAAACAGCACCGAAGCAGUAGUAAUGCAGGGCCCAGAAAGAAAAGUCACCCGACCCCAGGAAAGUCACUGAACUUUGCCGAAGCACCACCAAGACUUUUCUCACCUACCUCCUCAAUGUGGUGAAGAGUAGAGGAGGUACCGGGGCAUCUGGGUGGCUCAGUCUAGGCGUCUGACUUCUGGUCAGGUCAUGAUCUCACCGUUGGUGGGUUGGAGCCUCUUGUAGGACCUCAGGUACGGCUCUGUGCUGACAGCUCAGAGCCUGGAGCCUGCUUUGGAUUCUGUGUCUCCCUCUUUCCCUGCCCCUCCCUUGCUCAUGCUCUGUCUCUCAAAAUAAAUAAACAUUAAAAAAAUUUUAUUAAAAAAAAAAAAAAGAGGGGGCGCCUGGGUGGCUCAGUCGGUUAAGUGGCCGACUUCGGCUCAGGUCAUGAUCUCACGGUCCAUGAGUUCGACCCCCGCGUCGGGCUCUGUGCUGACAGCUCAGAGCCUGGACCCUGUUUCAGAUUCUGUGUCUCCCUCUCUCUGACCCUCCCCUGUUCAUGCUCUGUCUCUCCCUGUCUCAAAAAUAAAUAAAAUGUUAAAACAAAUUAAAAAAAAAAAAAAAAAGAGUAAAAGAGGUACCAUGUGGUAUGUUUCUAGCACAGAACCGGGCACAAAAUCAAUGUCAUUGCCAUCAUUGCUGUUGCUAUUAUUUACGAAUCCCCAAGCAGUGUCCAUUUAGGAGUAUUUGAAACCAGAUAAACAGACAUUUUCCAGCCUUUAGUUUUCUUGUUCAGUUUUGUUUUUGGUUAGGUUCCAUUUUGAUAAAUGAAAAAUCUUACCUCGCUGUCUCAACUAGGGUUGAGUUAUGUUCCCCUGGGUGGGACUAUCCCUGGGAAUCCCUAAAGAAUCUGUCUUUUUAGGGGCGCCUGGGUGGCUCAGUCAGUUGAGCGUCCGACUUCGGCUCAGGUCACGAUCUCACGGUCCGUGAGUUCGAGCCCCGCAUCGGGCUCUGUGCUGACAGCUUGGAGCCUGAAGCCUGCUUCCAAUUCUGUGUCUCCCUCUCUCUCUGACCCUCCCCCGUUCAU